AUUGAACGCUGGCGGCAUGCCUAACACAUGCAAGUCGAACGGGGCAGCAAUGCCUAGUGGCGGACGGGUGAGGAAUACGUAGGAAUCUGCCCUUAAGUGGGGGAUAACCAGGGGAAACCCUGACUAAUACCGCAUGAUCUCUUCGGAGCAAAGAGGGGGACCGCAAGGCCUCUCGCUUCUGGACGAGCCUACGUCUGAUUAGCUAGUUGGUAGGGUAAAGGCCUACCAAGGCGACGAUCAGUAACUGGUCUGAGAGGACGACCAGCCACACUGGAACUGAGACACGGUCCAGACUCCUACGGGAGGCAGCAGUGGGGAAUUUUGGACAAUGGGCGAAAGCCUGAUCCAGCCAUUCCGCGUGCAGGAUGAAGGCCCUCGGGUUGUAAACUGCUUUUGUACAGAACGAAAAGGUUUCUACUAAUACUAGGAGCUCAUGACGGUACUGUAAGAAUAAGCACCGGCUAACUACGUGCCAGCCGCCGCCGUAAUAC
rnacentral:rRNA from 1 species